CUUCUUGAAAACAAAGAGCCACUUUUGAGCCUUUCGCCACUUAUCAGGGUUUUUCUCUACUGGUCUCUUCUUUUCCCUAAGAUUUCAUAAGUCUUUCCAAUUCACUCUCUAUUUUUGCGGUGAAAAGAAAAUGGGAAGUUGUUUGAGCAAGAAGAGCCCUUGUUCUCCUCCUCCUCCUCUUCCUCUUGCGCUUGCUAACAAAAAUCAAGAAACCAAAGCUAAAACCCUGGGGCUGGUAGAAAAGAAGAAAGUAGAGGGACAUAUAGUGAGAAGAGAAAUUUUUGUUAUCAAACAUAGGAUAAGCCAUGAAGACGGAAAUGAUAAUUUCAAGAAAGCAGCUGAAUCAGCAGCACCAUUGAGGAGGACUUCAAGUUGCACCAAAGAAGAAGUUGAUGCUAUUUUGGUACAAUGUGGCAGGCUUAGCAAGAGUUCAUCCCAGAAAAAUGCUCUUUCAUUUUCAGAUUCUGGUGAUAAUACCAAUUGCAACCCCAAUACAAAUAGGAAGUCGUUUAAUUACGAGAGAAGUUGUGAUUUUGACAAUGAAAACAGCAGGGGAGGGAGCAGAAGGGCAAGCAGAUCUCCUGUUAGAAGAUCUGAAUCACCAAUUAGUGCUAAUUUGGAUUCUACUAAUGACAAUGGAAUUGGUGUUAGACCAGGAAGGAUGGUGUCUGUGCCUGCUAUGGUGGACAAGAAUGCUGACCUGAUUUCUACAGCUACUAUUCAAAGGAUUCAGGUGAAGAGAAAUGUGGGUGUUGCAUCUCCUCGUGCUCGGUCCCGGUCGCAGUCCCCAAGAAAGGUGAAUUCAAAGGCGUCAAACGAUAACAUGAAUUUCCAACAGCAGCCAUUGUUCCUUAGCCGCAGCAAUUCCAGGAAAAAAGAGGUUUCUCCUUUCAGAAGAAAUCCUUCAACUGAGAUUGUGGUAACGGAACCAAUGCCCCCGAGACUGAAUGCAGUAAAUAUAAACAAUGGCGAAGUUGUUCUGCGAGGAACUGAGGAAAAACUUGGCAUCAGCAAAGAGACUCUAGAUUACGGCUUUGCAAAUGUCUAUGGCAAAGUGAAGGAGCAGCAGCAGCUGGCACAGGAGGAAAGAGCACUGAGAACAGUUUCAGUGAAUGCUGCAGUGGAUGUGGUUGCUUCAGGAUUCAAAACUCUACUGCCUGAGGGAAUAAGAAGAAGCAGGUCACCGAGGUUAUCCCAAGACCUAGACAUUAAUCUUAGAGUUCAGUCAAAUCCUACUCAAUCAUAUACUGAGUUAUUGCUUGAGGACAUCCAAAACUUUCAUCAAAAGAGCAGAAACCCUUCAUUUUCGCUUCCACCUUGUGUAACAAAAGCUUGCUCAAUAGUGGAGGCAGUUGCUGACUUCAAUUCAAGCACUAGUUCCAAUCUAUCAAGUGCUUUCUCUGAAGACAGAAGAAUCAAUUUCACAGUUGAGCGAUUUAACAAGAACACCACUGCUUCUUUAGGAAGCAAUUCUCAGGGCAAAAACAGGUCAGAGCCAUACGUAGAGUCUGAGGUUGCUGUAAGUGAUGACUUAAUGGAGCCUCCCAGAACACAGAAGUAUGCAACCUUCGGAAGGGGAACUGACGGAGGUUAUAUGGAAGAGCUGGAAUCCUCAGAAAGCAGUAGUUUUGUUGGUUAUCAGCGACGUAGGUUUUCCCCUUCGUUUCGAGAACCAAAUUCAGCUGCCUCAACAGAUUCUUGGGCUCCUCCAAAAUCUUACAGUAGGCUGUAUAUGAAUCCAUUAGCCUUUCAAAAGUGUACAGUAUCUGAUCAUGUCCCUGAUAUCGAUGAAGGUAAAAGUAGAGUGACUGCAAAAGAGGGAUUCUGACAACCAGCAACGUGGAAUAGUUUGCAACGGUGGUGAACCUAGAGGACUUCACGUAACACCUAUUGCUGCAGCAGAGGCUUCAAUUUAUUAGAUAUAUGCAGUUUGUGUAGAGGAUUGAUAUGUCGCUGUUGUGGUUGCACACUUUGCAACCUUUUAAUCUCAGUGUUUACACAAUCAUUUACUUAAAGUAGCUGUGUCGUAGAUAUUGUUUUAAGUUCUCUGACAGACACAUGGGGUUAAUAAUGGAGUUUUGCAUUUAUACA